GCAGCUGUAGCUCAGUGGUAUGAGCGUGCGAUUGCAAUAUGUGCUCAUGCAUAGUCUAUCGCGAGGUCCUGGGUUCGACCCCCAGCAGCUGCU